rnacentral:rRNA from 1 species
GACGAACGCUGGCGGUGUGCUUAACACAUGCAAGUCGAACGGUAAGGCCCUUUCGGGGGUACACGAGUGGCGAACGGGUGCGUAACACGUGAGUAACCUGCCCUCAUCUCUGGGAUAACAGUCGGAAACGGUUGCUAAUACUGGAUAUGAGCUUGCAAGGCAUCUUGUGGGUUGGAAAGAUUUUUUUUGGUUGGGGAUGGACUCGCGGCCUAUCAGCUUGUUGGUGAGGUAGUGGCUCACCAAGGCUUCGACGGGUAGCCGGCCUGAGAGGGCGACCGGCCACAUUGGGACUGAGAUACGGCCCAAACUCCUACGGGAGGCAGCAGUGGGGAAUAUUGCACAAUGGACGGAAGUCUGAUGCAGCAACGCCGCGUGCGGGAUGACGGCCUUCGGGUUGUAAACCGCUUUCAAUUGUGACGAAGCUUUUUUGUGACGGUAGCAGUAGAAGAAGCACCGGCUAACUACGUG